UGUAAUUUUUAUAUAUUUAAUUCUUACAUAUUUUGAUAAUAACAACUAAUGAACAACCGACAACAACAAUUAUUAAUCACUCGACUAAACUUGCGUCCUUUAGAAGUUUUUAUUACCUAUUCACUAUAAAUCUAUAGUCUUAUCUGUUUAUAAAUAGAAGAGGGGAGAGAGAGAGAGGGAGAAAAGAUGUUAUCAAUUCUAUUUGUUACGACCUUCGUCGUUUACCUUAAAGGUAGAUGCGUAUAUUCCAGUUCAGUUUCAGAUCAGCCUCCGUACCGUCGACGUAAUUUAUAUUAAAGGAGUUAUCUCGCGUUCGAUAAAUUCGCAGAGGCGUUGUCUAAGCAGAAUUCGAUGUAAGAAAAUCGAAGUUCUCUUUCGUUAUCGAAUAAUUUAUUAUCAAGGGGUGAAGAACGAAGAGGUCACAGAGAGGAGCAAAUGGUGGAACGAAAGUGCAAAUUACAACUACGUAUUUCUAGAUUCGUUCGGUAUUCGUUCUUCCGUACGGGAAAAAGAUACCGGCUGAUUCCCGCUGGCUCGAUGGCACGGAAAAUGCAGGAAAUUGCACUCGCGGCGAAACGAGAAGCGUAAUUUAGAACAGACUGCUGCAACCUAGACUUUCUCCACUAGUGCGCUACCCUCUAAAAUGUUCCAUCUUUCUCUCUCUUACACACUCUUCUUUGGAUAGGCUCACGUUUCGAACUUGAGUCGAGUACUCGACUACGCCUACGAAUACGGAAGAGGAAGAGAAAGAGAAAGAGAAAGAGAGACAGAAGAUGUCACCAGUGCUAGCAGCUCUUGUAGUUUUUGUAGGCGGACCCGAUCUUUGUGGAUCUUGUCGUGGCCUGCAAUAGAUGAUUUUCCGGAAAGCUUUUCGGAAAUUAUCGCUGAGAAAAGCGUAAAGGAUGGGGUUGACGCAGCUAUUGGUAUACGCCAAGAUAUGACUCGCUAUCUGGACCAUAAUCGUCGCUGACUUUAAAGGAUAUGCCUCUAAAGACUUCGUAACUAAUAUUACCUGUAAAAAUAAAUAGAUAAUUCUUUUUUUUUUUAAGUACCUAUACAUUCAUCAAAACAAUUUUCUGAGAUUAAAUGAUUACGAUAGUAGAGGUACGAACGAUAUUUAUCUACUCAAAAAGUGGAUAUACAUUACAUAGUACACCUAUAGUAUUAACUUAUUAAUUAAAUGUUUUUUCGUUUCAAUUAAUUCAUUAUACAGGAUUGGUUAAUCAAGAAUUACUAUGAUUGUUUCAGUUAAAUAAUUAAAUCUAUCAUGUUGAUGGAUAAAAUCGUCAUUGACCUAAUUUAUUUUGUAAAAAUAUUUAAGUCUUGAAAAGGUAAAAAAUAUUUAACUCACCUGGAUUGGACACCAACAUAUAGCGAAAACUCCUACAACGACGAGAACCAAACGAGUAACUCGUCUUCUCCCUCUUCGACUCUCGGCACUAACACGAGCACCACGCCAUAGUCUGACAAGCAUACAGACGUAAAAGACGCAUAUCAACGUCAAUGGCAGCAAGUAACUCGUUAGGAAGAAGGAUACCUGGAAAAAGGACCAAUCAUAUUGCGGUAGGAUCCGACAAGCCGUCGACGAGUUGUCCAAAUCCUGAAACGUAAAGUGAAUCUACAUACAUAAGGGAACGACUCUCGUGAGAGAAAAGAGGCUAUGAAUUAGGGAAGAUAAGAGACAUCGAAAGAUCAAAUUUUUUAACAAAUUUCAGUAAAUCAUUGAAUCGAAUA